rnacentral:lncRNA from 1 species
ACCUUAUAUUUGCAUUUCUCUGGGACAAUUUCUCCUCCCAAGUUUGGUAGAUUAAGUUCAUACGUUUUUCCAUUGAGGUUAUUUAUAACAAUAUUAAGGCUGCGUCGUCCAUAGUCGACUUGAAUCAGAUCUCGGUGUAAACUUCCCACACUCGCUAGAUCUACAUAUAUUGUGACUGUCUGAGGUUUCUGGAGAAAACCUGACGAACGAUAAAGAUAAAAAAUAUUAAUGAUUUUUAUUUACAUUGGUCAGAGCUGGUUUCAUUAAUGACUCGCUGGGUCGUCCAAAGGUAAAAUCUUAAUACUUUUUAUUUACAUUAGUGAGAACAGGUGAACUCGCUGGGUCGUCGAAGGUUAACUGCUGUGCAACAUACGUAAAUUCUUAUUAAACAAUCUUUCAGUUGAACUUGAUAUUAAUGGAGAAGAAUCGAUGUUCCCGAGAACAUUCUUACCUUUUCUUUCUGUACAUUUUAAUACAAAUGUUUGUAUAAGUUUAAAUAAGAUGAAAAUUUUAUUAAAAAUAUUAAAAAUUAUAAUCUGGGAUUAAAAGAGAGUUGUACGUUUGGGCGCUGUGGUUUGGCUGUGCUCAAAUGUCAACUGGAAAACCAAAAUUUCCAAGCACGUUCCGAUUAGCCAUUCCGAAGUUGAUACCGUGUUAAAAAGUGCCCAAAUUAAGAAAUGAACCAAAUCACUAAAUUAGUAAGUAUGCAAAGUUUGAAGACGUUUACAUGAAUACCCUUCGAAUAAUAAGCUUUCGAAAAUCGCGAUAUUUACUAUGAAAUGUAUUGUAAUUUUUGUUUUUGGGGACGCGCGUCCCAAAAACAAUCUUUUAACCAGUAAUUUCACAAUUUUCGAAAGCUUAUUAUUCGAAGGAUAUUCAUGUAAACGUCUUCAAACUUUGUAUACUUACUAAUUUUGAGGUAGUCUUUUUAGUGAUUUGGUUCAUUUCUUAAUUUGGGCACUUUUUAACACUCGUUCCCAGUCCACUCAUCAACUUCGGAAUGGCUAAUUCAUUCCCGAAUGAAUGGAGGGUCUAUUGUGAGAUCAGUAAGACUAACUGCAUUACAGAGUUUGUUCAGGCUUCUCGUGUAGAACAGAGAUGGUAGCAAUCUUGUUCCCCGAGCCUGCGAUCCUCGGGAAGGAACGCGAGGCUCUGGGAUAAUCCGUUUCUGGGAGGAAUCUGAUUGGCCGUUGAAAUGGAAUGCGUAGUUCAAUCUUAGCCAGAAUUCCUGGCUUCCGGCAACGGAUUAUCCCAGAGCCUCGCGUUCCUUCCCGAGGAUCGCAGGCUCGGGGAACGAGAUUGGGAUGGUAGCAGGGACGUCGCUACUGGGGGGUGUGGUGGGUUGUAACCCCCCCCCAAUAAUUCAAACGUUGGUCAAAGUUGGCAUGGUCAAAAUGGAACUGGUAUUUGCUUAAAAUUUAAUGUUAAUGUCGGAAAAAUGUGGUGAAAAAUUGGCAAACCUUGCUCGAAAAUUUUUUAAAUAUGGUCAUGUUAGUCCGUAAAAUGUUUUAAGUCCGGAAAAUUUUGGUAGUCCAGUGGUAUAUCGACCUCAUUUGAUAAAAUUUGCGCCUCCCGGCCUAGUCGGGUGUUCCGUCUCGCGGGUAGAUGCUUGUCAUGCAGGCUACGAGAUCGGUAAUCAAAUAAUCGCCCCACAGCCGCGUGACGUACUGGCUCGGUGCCACCUUUAAACUCUAUCCUGUGUUGAAAGAAAUGAGCACUUUGGAACUUAUAAAUAGCAACAAGGUCAAGUUUAAUCGCUUUAAUCGACUAUUGUUCUGAACAAAACCACGGGUAAUACAAUAAGACCGUGACAAAACAAAGGGGCUAUUCAACACCAGAAAAAAACAGAUCACAACCUUUGAGCAUAGCGAACGUAAAAACGGAUUUGAAAAAGCGACAGACAAGAAGACAUUAAAACCCCGGAUGAGAGUGGACUGUCACGCAUUGUCAGAGGGGACAGAUCAAGCUCUAGAUUAACAAAGUAAACGUUUGCGCAAAUGCCAUCAUGGUAUGACAAUUGACAAUACAUGAUAGUGUUGCGCGUGAGUACCAACUCUCAUGCAACCUCAUUUGAUCUAUGGUUUGAUCCAGGUUUAAUUCAACCGUUCCUGUAACGCUACUGUCUUCAAACCAUCAAUAGGGGUGAUCCGUUUAGUAGUACACAGUUCCAUUUUCGCGUAUCGUUUCUGUUCUUUGCGUACAAGGGGGAGGGAGGGGGUUCAAUUUUUGCGUACAUACUAAAUGAAUGCCCCCCACACGAGAAUGUAUGCACAGGGUGGCUAGAUUAUUUUCGUCCAUUUUAUGACCAUCCUUCGACACCAGUUCACAGAUUCUAUUUUUACCUCGAAACACAUAUGCAAAUUCUAUUUUGGUGUAUGACACGAGGAAAUUUGAUUAAUUUUGCGCAUUUCAAUCGACACAAGAUUAAGGAUCUGGCAGUAAUGCUCUGUUAUCAAUGAAGGUCACUUACCAACUAGCGGCACAAAUUUGGUACUAGCGAGUUUUAAUUAAUAGGGCUACGUGAUACUUGUACCGGAUAGCUUUCUGUAACGACAUGGAAAAACACCAGGAUAUUACAACGGAGAGAUGUUGUUUCGCUCAGCUUCUGAAAGUUGUACAUUCCAUAUCGGAUAGGUGAUUUUUAGCGCAGCUACAGAAUGCUAUCCGGUAUAAUAGAGAGUUUACGAUCUACGACGCGACCGGCUCAACGACGCGGUCUAAAUUUCAGCUCAAGAAUGAGCGCUAAGCAAUUUGAUUACUGUAUCUAAAUAUUUGAAGCUUUUUCAAAUAACCUUACAAACUGUUACGUUCGGCUAAAGCGAUGCAAUUUUUGCUGUAAUUUCGACUUCAAGUAACACCUCUUGGGUCGCAUUAAGCUUUCACGUUGCUUGAAAGACGUAAUAAUGCUUGUUUAACGUUGUGUUGAGAAUACCCCUGGGACCACGAAUUAUUCAGUUUUUGUCUCGCAUGACAAAUUUCUUUGUUUUGAAAGCGCGUCGUCGAGCCGGCGCGUCGUAGACGGUAAACUCCCUAAUCUAAGUGUUAAAUACGGCCCAGUAGAUUGUUGCUGGUCAACUUCUGAAAUGUUGAACACAGAAACACGAAAAUUGAAAUAUAAAAUAAUACUGCUUAGUGAAACCCACCUUCCAAAGGUUUUAUUGUCCGUUUUACAAAGCUAGUCGCAAACUAGAGAAGCUCUAAGUGUUUGAAAGUCAGAAAGCAUAGAAUGAACUUGCGACCCUAUUUUGCAUAUUGUGCGCUCUAUUCACGCAGAUAAUGCGAAUUACGCCAUCCAGGAAUAGCGCAAAUUGAAAGCAAAGUUCUACACUGCUCAAAGCUCGUGAUCUGUUACCGGUGGCAAUGUGCAAUUCAUUGUUUUUCAUUCACACGAUAAACGAAAUACAACAGUUUGAUUAAAAAUUUUAUUUCAAAGUGAUUAACAAUAUAAAAAGCUUUAUUACUAUAAUUUGAUAAAAAAUAUCAUUACAAAUGAUUCUUAAAAAUGUAAUUGUUCUCGAAUUUAUAAAAAACCUACUUUCUAAAUUAAAGUUCCCCUAAUCAAUUCCCCGCAAUAAAAAUUUAAAUUACAAAAUUCCUACGUUAUAAAAAUAGCUAUCAAAUCAAGUUAAAAUCACUACCUUACAAUUUAAUAAAACUCAUUGAGCUUUUCGAUCAAGGUUAUAUAAUUUGCAAGCAACGUUAAAAGUUUAAGUGUGGUGACUGUUAUACUUCACUUUUUAAAAUAUUAUCAAUAAUCAGUACAAUAUCGGACAAUGAAAAUGAAGCGAAAUGCUGGGCUGUGCUCUGGAAUGUCUUUAAGGAAUUUAGACAGGAUAAUUUGGUCGAAGAAACUUCCAUACCACUACAUUGAUUGCCAACAAUUUCCCCAGCCAAACAUCUGUGGUUUAUUCUGGAGGACAUUUUUGGCAUGUGCUAGCAAAAUGUGGGCAUGAAAUACUCCGCUUCUUAACACAUCCGAGACAGUGCGAAAUUAUAACAGUCAACACGGAUAAUCAACAAUUGAACAUUGGCUUGCGUUUAAUCCCCAUACAGGAUAUGACUAACGGACCUUCUAGGAUUAUAUAUUAAAGGUCAUUGUACUGCAAUACAUGUUAAAAAAGAUUUUGGUGAGCUUUGGUGGGAACAAAUUUUCACGUUUGGACUACGGUUUCUAUUGCAAAACUUUACGCAUGCGCAGUAACGCUUUCAGAGAACAUUUAAAAAUCUAAACUUGCUCAAACUCGAAAUGUUUGUUCCCAUGAAGCUUUUGUGUAAAAUGGCUAUAUGUUGCCCUACUUUCUAAACACAUUGACAUGGCUAUAAUUUUAUAUCAAUGUUAAAACUACAAUAUGAAAUUUAAUAAAUUUUUAAAAGUCAAAUCGUUAUAUUCUCACUAGGUACUCACUCCGAACUACAAUCCUAUACUUUUCUUAAUAUUUGGGAAUAUUAGUAUAAAAUUCGAUGUUUCGUUGGCUAUAUGUUGUUGAAUGAUAAUAAAAUUAUUUUGGCCACUCGCACAAAGUGUAAUUAAAGUUAGUACAUAUUAUUUGACAAAAUGUUAUUAUUAUUAAUAAAUGUUAUCAAUUGUUAUAGUUCAAAAGAAAAGAACUCCAAGAAAUGACGAAUUAUUGCAGCAUUUUUAUAUGUUAAAUUCGCUUUCAUUUCUCCAAACGACAUUAAAAUCCUAUUAAUUCAC